GAUGAACGCUGGCGGCGUGCCUACUACAUGCAAGUCGAGCGACUGGAUUAAGAGCUUGCUCUUAUGAAGUUAGCGGCGGACGGGCGAGUAACACGUGGGUAACCUGCCCAUAAGACUGGGAUAACUCCGGGAAACCGGGGCGAAUACCGGAUAACAUUUUGAACCUCAUGCUUCGAAAGUGAAAGGCGGCUUCGGCUGUCACUUAUGUAUGGUACCGGGUCGCAUUAGAUAGUUGGUGAGGUAACGGCUCACCAAGGCAACGAUGCGUAGCCGACCUGAGAGGGUGAUCGGCCACACUGGGACUGAGACACGGCCCAGACUCCUACGGGAGGCAGCAGUAGGGAAUCUUCCGCAAUGGACGAAAGUCUGACGGAGCAACGCCGCGUGAGUGAUGAAGGCUUUCGGGUCGUAAAACUCUGUUGUUAGGGAAGAACAAGUGCUAGUUGAAUAAGCUGACACCUUGACGGUACCUAACCAGAAAGCCACGGCUAACUACGUGCCAGCCGCCGCCGUAA
rnacentral:rRNA from 1 species